AUACGGGAGGCAGCAGUUAGGAAUCUUGCGCAAUGGACGAAAGUCUGACGCAGCGACGCCGCGUGCGGGAUGAAGGCCUUCGGGUUGUAAACCGCUUUCAGCAGGGACGAAAUUGACGGUACCUGCAGAAGAAGCCCCGGCCAACUACGUGCCAGCAGCCGCGGUAAUACGUAGGGGGCGAGCGUUGUCCGGAUUUAUUGGGCGUAAAGAGCUCGUAGGUGGUUCGGUAAGUCGGAUGUGAAAUCUCCAGGCUCAACCUGGAGGGGUCAUUCGAUACUGCCGUGACUAGAGUUCGGUAGGGGAGUGUGGAAUUCCUGGUGGAGCGGUGAAAUGCGCAGAUAUCAGGAGGAACACCCGUAGCGAAGGCGGCACUCUGGGCCGAUACUGACACUGAGGAGCGAAAGCGUGGGGAGCGAACAGGAUUAGAUACCCCGGUAGU
rnacentral:rRNA from 1 species